GACGAACGCUGGCGGCGUGCUUAACACAUGCAAGUUGAACGGAAAGGCCUCUUUCGGGGGGUACUCGAGUGGCGAACGGGUGAGUAACACGUGAGUAACCUGCCCUUGACUUUGGGAUAACUUCAGGAAACUGGGGCUAAUACCGGAUAGGAGCUCCUGCUGCAUGGUGGGGGUUGGAAAGUUUCGGCGGUUGGGGAUGGACUCGCGGCUUAUCAGCUUGUUGGUGGGGUAGUGGCUUACCAAGGCUUUGACGGGUAGCCGGCCUGAGAGGGUGACCGGCCACAUUGGGACUGAGAUACGGCCCAGACUCCUACGUGAGGCAGCAGUGGGGAAUAUUGCACAAUGGGUGGAAGCCUGAUGCAGCAACGCCGUGUGCGGGAUGACGGCCUUCGGGUUGUAAACCGCUUUCGCUCAUGACGAAGCUUUGUGUGACGGUAGUGGGUAAAGAAGCACCGGCUAACUACGUG
rnacentral:rRNA from 1 species